rnacentral:rRNA from 1 species
GACGAACGCUGGCGGCGUGCUUAACACAUGCAAGUCGAACGAAGAGCGAUGGAAGCUUGCUUCUAUCAAUCUUAGUGGCGAACGGGUGAGUAACGCGUAAUCAACCUGCGCUUCAGAGGGGGACAACAGUUGGAAACGACUGCUAAUACCGCAUACGAUCUAAUCUCGGCAUCGAGGAUAGAUGAAAGGUGGCCUCUACAUGUAAGCUAUCACUGAAGGAGGGGAUUGCGUCUGAUUAGCUAGCUGGAGGGGUAACGGCCCACCAAGGCGAUGAUCAGUAGCCGGUCUGAGAGGAUGAACGGCCACAUUGGGACUGAGACACGGCCCAGACUCCUACGGGAGGCAGCAGUGGGGAAUCUUCCGCAAUGGACGAAAGUCUGACGGAGCAACGCCGCGUGAGUGAUGACGGCCUUCGGGUUGUAAAGCUCUGUUAAUCGGGACGAAAGGCCUUCUUGCGAAUAGUGAGAAGGAUUGACGGUACCGGAAUAGAAAGCCACGGCUAACUACGUG